CCAAAAAAACAGAAAUAGCUAUUCAUAUAUUUUAAUUAAUACGUCAAGUAGUGGUCAUGGUUUAGAAUCAAGGGAGCAAAAUAAUAAUAAUCAUAAAAAUAAAACAAUUUUACCAACUACUUUUCUUUGGAACAAAAAAAAAGAAAAGCUUUUUAAUCAUAAUUUUGAACACAUUCUAAUACAAACUAAAUCAUUUUCGUUUUCUUUAAAAAUGUUACAAAAUAAAAAAGAUUAUAAAAAAAUUAAGGCCAUUGAAAAAUUAAUAAUAGAAAAUAUAAUUGACAAGAAUCAAACUCGUGAAUUAACUUUUUUAAAUGCUUCUUUCUAUAUCAACUUUUUGAAUAAUGUUUAUUCAAAACAAGACACCAAAAACUGUGCAAAUAGUAACAAUGCUAAUGAUAGUUUAUGGAGUGAAGGUUUACGGAGUGAAGGUUUACGGAGUGAAGGUUUACGGAGUGAAGGUUUACGGAGUGAAAGCUUAUGGAGUGACAGCUUAUGGAACAAAAGUAAUAAAACAUUAUUUUAUUAUCAAUUUAUCAAUUUCAAUAUAAAUUUGAAAUAUAUAUAUAACGCUUUCAUUUAUUUAUUACAUUUUUAUAUACAUAUGAAAUGCAGUCUUGUUAAUACACAUAGUGUACAGCCAUGUUUAAAAAAAAGUGAAUCGCAUAGGACUAAUAGCACAACUAAUAUAGACGAGCAAAACAAAACUGACACUUUUUUUAAUACUAACAUAAAUGAAAACAUAAAUGAAAACAUAAAUGAAAACAUAAAUAACCAAAUAAAAAAUGUGAUAAACCAUGUAUACAUAUAUUUAGAAAAUAUAGACAACAGUUUGCUUAUACAUGAGGAAAAAAUUGAAGUGUUAAGUUUGUUAAAGGAAAGAUGGUGUAUGAUAGAAUAUGUACAAAAAAGUGCAAGGGGAUACAAUAAUAGUGGUAAUGCUUAUGACUUAAGUAGUAGUAGCGACAGUAAAAUUAAUGGAAACUAUUAUACUCAUGCAAUUUUUACCAUAAUAGAAGAAAUAAUACAUAUCGUAUACUCUUAUUUAAUGAAUGUAUACAUGAUUCGAGAUACGAACUACGAAUAUUUAAAAAAAGGUACGCAUGUACAGAACAAAUUUGGCUUAAUUAAUAAUAAAAUAGAUAAUGGCUGCGAUGGUUUCACUAGUGACAUAAAAACACACGAAAUAUCUUUCAACAAACCAAUCAAGCACAUGAAUAAUGUCAUUCUAACCGAUUUUGGUCCAAACAAAGUCGAUAAAAUAAAAAAAGAAACCACUUUUGAAGAAAUAAAUAAUUUUAUUACAUACGAAGAAUAUUCUAUAUUUAAAAAUAUAUACCUAAAUGAUACCUACAAAGAUGGUACACCGUUUAAGCAGUAUUCUUAUAUUAGCUCAUCUUUGUUUAAUCAAACAAUUUUUUUUGAUUCGGUUAUAAAUAUAUACAAAGAAAUAAAAAAAAAUAAAAUAACUUUAUUUUACCUGAACACGUACAACAUAUUAUUUACAAAUUUAAAAAAUAAUUUUUAUAAUUAUAUAAUUAAAACUCCUUUUUGUGAUAAUUUUAGUUCGCUAAACACGUUUGGAGCUGAACCAUUAAACGCCUUAACCCCAGAAUUGUUAAAUUUAAAUUACAGAAGCCAACACUCUUUAUGUUUUUAUUUUAUUUUUUAUAUCUUUACUAUAUUUACUAACAUAAUGAGCAGUAACGUUAUAAAGGCGAAGGGUAUUUAUGAUGAAAAUACAUGUUAUUCCAUAUUUCGAGAAAUAUAUAAUAUUAUUAAUUUUAAAAAGAAAGCAGCAAAAGAUAUAUUAGUAUGCUUAUUAGAUUUUUAUACGCAUUUACUUAUGCUAAAAAAUGAAAUACCAUUUGUUCAAAAAAUAGAAAAAUAUUUGUUUGUUUGGUUGUUUCUUCUUCUUAAACUCGUGAUAAACAAUUUGGAAGGAAGAAGAAGAGAUGUUAGUAGUACCCCACAGUUGACGCCGUUAUCCAAACUGAUUAAAUUUGCUACAAAUGAUGGAGUUAUGAACAAUACCAGCAACAUAGUUAAUGUACAUGACUACAACGAUUUUGAAACAGAUAAAUGUGCUUAUGUAAUGAAUAGUCCUAAUGUCCAAAAAAAUGGAGCAUUUAGCAAUAUAAAACAAAAUGAUACUAUUUUAUUUAUUCAUGAUACACCAACUGGAUAUACCAACAACAGCGACAGUAACAACAGCAUGAACAUAAAUAAGGAGGACGUACUAAAAAUGUAUAAAAUUUUAUACGUAAAUAAAAACAACAAUUUCGCUGAGACGUUGAGUUACAUUUGUUAUUAUAUAAAAAAAUAUAUUGCAUAUAUAUGCCCAACUGAUUUGAACAAAAUGUUGAACUGCCUAUUCAUUGAAUAUAAUACUAUCACAGAGUUAAGUGAAAAACUAGAAAACGACACUUUUAUUUAUAUAAUAGGAUCUAUAUAUAUAUCUCAUUACUUGUUAAACAUUAUUUGUUCAAAAAUAAGAAAAGAAGUAAAAACCAUUUUUAAAAAAAUUGCAUUAAAAAAAUAUUUGAAUAAUCAAAAAGUUUUAACAGAAGAAGAAAUUUACAUGAGUAGUCAACACCAUAUGUACAUCGAAAAAAUUAACCCUUUUGAAAAAAUAACAUAUAAUGAUUUUUUGAAUUUAAAAAAAAAUGAAUUUUACAAAGAAAAUAUAAGAGAUAUAAAAAAAGAUCUUCCAUUAAUACCCAAAGUACUUUAUCACAUGAAUAAAAAAAAAAAAAAAAAGCUGUUACAAAUGUUAAAAAAGAGUAAUAAAAAUAACGUAUGUACAUAUUUUAUUGAAAAAUAUAUUCAUAAAAAUGAGUCAGAAGAUAUAGAAACGUUAUAUAUAAAAUUAAAAAUCGAUUUCAAGAAAUUUAUAAAAAAUAUACUACCAUUAUGUAAAGUAGAAACUAUUUUAAAACAUAUAACUAGUACAAAUAAUUUGAUAAAUUGUUCAAUUAUUUAUUUAUGUAUGAAUUUUAUUUAUCAUGUAAAAAUGAACUACAAUUUGGUGUUAAAAUUUGCACAUGCAAUUAGCUAUUCUUUGUGCGUUUUUGUACAUGCAAUACACAGUGCAAAUUUGUUUUUAUUGCAAAGGGAUGAUAUGUUUUCAAAUAUCAAAUGUUCAUUUAAGUCUGAUAAUAAUGAGUUAAUAACUGUAUCUACGCAUGCAUCGGACACAUUGAUAUCUAACCAUAACAUGUUGUUUAAAAAAAAAAAAGAAAAAAAUUUAUACAAUUAUGCUAAAUUCCCCAUAAAUUUUAAUAAAAUUAUAAAUUUACAAAUAGAAAAGUAUGAACAAAAAAUAAAUGAAUUAGAAUAUUUAAAUUAUAUGGUACAAUUAUUACAACAACCAAAAAACAUAUUUAAUGGCUUAGAUUUUACAAUUUUGUUAAACUGUUUAAAAUUGCUAUGUAGACAAAUUGUUAUUAAUAAUGAGCAAAAUGAUCAGACAAAUAUGAAUGAAUUAUUUAAAUUAGAGCAAUUCAAAAAUAUUAUAAUCCAACAAAAAUGUGAUACUAUUAUGAACGAGUCAGAAGAAAAUACGAUAAAAAAUAUAGAAAAGGAAUAUGAUACUUUUUUUAAUUCGGAAGACCAAUUUGGAGCUUAUAAGUCGGUGUUAUAUGACAAUAUGGAUACAGAAAAGGGUAAUAAUGAUAGAGAAGGAGAAGAAGAAAAUGAUGCACACAGUGAUAUCGCAUGUUCUGUUGUUUCGCAAGAGGUAAUUAGUAAAAAAGGAAAUGACACGAAUGAAUAUGCUAGAAUAAGCGGCGAGGAUAACAUACAUAACGGAAUGAAAAUGUCAAGUAAUACACAAACCAUAUUAGACAAUGGAAAACGCAAGUUAGACGAAACUAUGUUUAAUAAAAUUAUUUAUAAAAUUGUUAAAUUAUUUAAAAAAAGAACAGAACCUAGUAACAACAAUAUAAAAGAUAACAAAAAGGGGGAGGCGAAUGCGAAAACGAAGGCGAAAGAGUACAUAUGCAAGAACAAAACAGAAAUAUAUAAAAUAAGAAAAAAUAUAAAUGACACACUAGAUAUGUUAAUAAAACUAAGUAGCUCAAGUAAUAAGGAAAAUAAGUACGACAUAUGUCAUGAUGGUAAUAAUGAUAACUUAUUAUCAGUAUGUAAUAACAUGAAAAAUACACAUCGAUUUAAUUUUUUUGAUACAAAAAAAAAAGAAGAAAAACAAUUUUUAAUUUUUACUUUAAACACAUUAAACAAAUUAAACUAUUUUUCACAUUGUAAUGGUUACAAUUUCGAAUAUUUUAAAAAUAAAAUUUUAGAAUGUAUACUAAAUAAUAAAAAAAAAAAUCACGCAUAUAUAAAUAAAUACAUAAACCUAUUAGAAUAUAAUUUUG
ensembl:lncRNA